GAUGAACGCUAGCUACAGGCUUAACACAUGCAAGUCGAGGGGCAGCGGUAUCGAAAGCUUGCUUUCGGUAGCCGGCGACCGGCGCACGGGUGAGUAACGCGUAUCGAACCUGCCUCAUACUCGGGAAUAGCCUUGCGAAAGUAAGAUUAAUGCCCGGUGUUUUCAGAGUCCCGCAUGAGGCUUUGACCAAAGAUUUAUCGGUAUGAGAUGGCGAUGCGUCCCAUUAGCUUGUUGGCGGGGUAACGGCCCACCAAGGCAUCGAUGGGUAGGGGUUCUGAGAGGAAGGUCCCCCACAUUGGAACUGAGACACGGUCCAAACUCCUACGGGAGGCAGCAGUGAGGAAUAAUGGUCAAUGGGCGGAAGCCUGAACCAGCCAAGUAGCGUGCAGGAAGACGGCCCUCCGGGUUGUAAACUGCUUUUAGUUGGGAAUAAAACGGGGCUCGUGAGCCCCCUUGCAUGUACCAUCAGAAAAAGGACCGGCUAAUUCCGUGCCAGCAGCCGCAGUAA
rnacentral:rRNA from 1 species